rnacentral:rRNA from 1 species
AUUGAACGCUAGCGGCAGGCCUUACACAUGCAAGUCGAACGGAGUGGCGAACGGGUGAGUAAUGUAUCGGAACGUGCCCAGUAGCGGGGGAUAACUACGCGAAAGCGUAGCUAAUACCGCAUCCUAUUAGAUGAGCCGAUGUCGGAUUAGCUAGUUGGUGGGGUAAAGGCGCACCAAGGCGACGAUCCGUAGCUGGUUUGAGCGGACGACCAGCCACACUGGAACUGAGACACGGUCCAGACGCCUACGGGAGGCAGCAGUGGGGAAUUUUGGACAAUGGGCGAAAGCCUGAUCCAGCCAUGCCGCGUGUGCGAUGAAGGCCUUGGGGUUGUAAAGCACUUGUGGUUGGGAAGCGGUACCUGCAGAAUAAGCACCGGCUAACUACGUGCCAGCCGCCGCGGUAAUUC